CUUUCAUAAUUUGAUCUCUGCCAUUUCGAGAUUUUAUGCUCUUUUUACAAUAAAGUUUCAAAAAGGUAUUUCAAGGCGAAAAAAACUUAACCGAUCUCUACUAAGAAGGCUAAUAGCUAUUACUUUUCAACUAUUUUUUAUUGACGAAGGCCCUUUUAUGAAAAUUUCUAAUAAUGUGGUUAACUUGGGACUUCUCCAACAAGAAAAACCCAAACUUAGGACGAAAUCUUUCUCAGAUUUCGCCGAUACAAAUAAUAAUGGAUUUAUGGAUUAUAAUUUAAAUAGUUAUUUAUUUCAAU